GGAAUAUUGCACAAUGGGCGCAAGCCUGAUGCAGCAACGCCGCGUGAGGGAUGAAGGCCUUCGGGUUGUAAACCUCUUUUAGUAGGGAAGAAGCGAAAGUGACGGUACCUACAGAAAAAGCACCGGCUAACUACGUGCCAGCAGCCGCGGUAAUACGUAGGGUGCAAGCGUUGUCCGGAAUUAUUGGGCGUAAAGAGCUCGUAGGCGGUUUGUCGCGUCUGCUGUGAAAAUCCGAAGCUCAACUUCGGACCUGCAGUGGGUACGGGCAGACUAGAGUGCGGUAGGGGAGAAGGGAAUUCCUGGUGUAGCGGUGGAAUGCGCAGAUAUCAGGAGGAACACCGAUGGCGAAGGCACUUCUCUGGGCCGUAACUGACGCUGAGGAGCGAAAGCGUGGGGAGCGAACAGGAUUAGAUACCCUGGUAGUCCACGCCGUAAACGGUGGGUGCUAGUUGUGGGUCACAUUCCACGUGAUCUGCGACGCAGCUAACGCAUUAAGCACCCCGCCUGGGGAGUACGGUCGCAAGACUAAAACUCAAAUGAAUUGACGG
rnacentral:rRNA from 1 species